rnacentral:lncRNA from 1 species
ACAUAUAGGGGAUUUAUGGGGUCAUUUGGGGACAAUAGGGGACAUAUAGGGACAAUAUGGGUCAUAAAGGGACAUAUGGGGGCAUAUAGGGACAAUAUGGCACAUAUAGGGACAUAUGGGGACAAUAUGGAUCAUAUGGAGACAUAUGGGGACAUAUAGGGACAAUAUGGGGACAUAUAGGGUCAUAUAGGGUCAUAUGGGGACAAUAGGGGACAUAUAGGGACAUAUGGGGACAUAUAGGAACAAUAUGGGUCAUAUAGGGACAAUAUGGCACAUAUAGGGACAUAUGGGGUCAUAUAGGGUCAUAUGGGGACAAUAGGGGACAUAUAGGGACAUAUGGGGACAUAUAGGGACAUAUGGGGGACAUAUAGGGACAUAUGGGGUCAUAUAGGGACAAUAUGGCACAUAUAGGGACAUAUAGGGACAUAUGGGAACA